UACGUAGGUGGCAAGCGUUGUCCGGAUUUACUGGGCGUAAAGAGCGCGCAGGCGGUCGUCCAAGUCGCGUGUGAAAGCCCCCGGCUCAACUGGGGAGGGUCGUGCGAUACGGUCGGACUCGAGGCCAGUAGGGGGACGCGGAAUUCCGGGUGUAGUGGUGAAAUGCGUAGAGAUCCGGAGGAACACCAGAGGCGAAAGCGGCGUCCUGGGGUGAGGUUGACGCUCAGACACGAAAGCAUGGGGAGCGAUCCGG
rnacentral:rRNA from 1 species